AGGGGGUAUAUAUUGAUUGUAGAUUUUUAUUAUUUUGUUUUUAAAGCACCCAGACAGUGUUGAAGAAAGUCGUAUUCUUCUCGAUGUACCUCCUGAUCGUAUCGGACACGGGACAUACCUUCACCCCGAGGUUGGAGGCGACCAAAGCUUGGUGAACUCGGUUGUACGAUCAAAGAUUCCCAUAGAGAUGUGCAUGACAUCAAAUCUUAUUGGUGGAGUUGUGGAGACGCCAUCUUCUCAUCAUUUACAGUAUUGGAGGAACAAAAAUCAUCCAUGUGUUAUAUGCACGGAUGAUAAAGGUGUUUUCUCAACAAGUCUUUCAGAGGAAUACUUACUUGCUGCUAAUACUUUCAAUCUAUCGCACCUAGAUAUCUGGGAUAUGUCUCAAAAGGCUAUUGAGUUUAUUUUUGGGGGAGAAGAUUUGAAAAGACGCUUACGAACCACUUGGUCCAAAGAGAAAGAUAAAAUUGGAUGUAUUCAGACUGGAGCGCUCAACGGAUCAUGCCCUUGAGUUCAUCUUGUUUAAAGAUUAACGCAAUUGAACAAUCAUUGUUAAUGGAACAAAAUGAAAUGCUGUUUAAACUGAGUAAAUCAUGAGGUUAGAUGGAAUCUUUGUUAAGAUGCUGCAUGACGUCAUACUGUAUCAUACAAAAAAGUGAGUAGAAUCAUAGGUAUUCUGUGGAAUCAACCGCUUGAUUGAUUUACCUUUUUUCUAUUCUAUUUGAUAAUGUAAUUCAUGUAAUUCACCAAUUGACUUAGUGUUAAACAUCACUGCUAUUAUGCUAGUUUUGUUUGUUUUGUUCGUCAAGUUUUUCUCCCUAUUUAUUGGAGUGAGAGUGGUAUAGCGAAGUGAUGACUAAGUUGAAUUUGAUUAAUAUAUAAUAAAAACACAAACGAAACGCAAAAACAUGUUAGGUCAACACCGAUCCGUUUAACGAAGGGGGAUUAGGGAAUGGCGAAUGCCAAAUAUCGUUUUUAUUUCACCUUUUGAACUUUUGAAGAGGCAUGCAGAAGGCUAGUAAAGAAAUUUUUAUUAUAUUACUAUACCUUUUGAUAUUUUUCAAGAGGAUAAUGGAUUAAAGGACGACGAAUUUAAAUGCAUUGAAUCUAUAAAAUCAUGAUGAGGAUGUAUAUCUGGGAUUAUAUAGGACCGCGUAAGGUUUAAUUAGAUAUGGGAAUGAUUGAAUACCCGUCUUAUUUUUAAAUCCAGCGGGCUUGGACGGUCGAAUAAACCGCCUGAAAGUGACAUGCCAAAGAUUACUUAUGAUUUAUGAUGUUAAAUGACAAAUCCAUCCUAACAAAAAAUGAUUUUAAUAAAUAGAGAAAAAUAAAACAAGCACAACACUGAAAAAUCCAGCAGAAUCGG